ACGGGACCCGCACAAGCGGUGGAUGAUGUGGUUAAUUCGAUGCAACGCGAAAACCUUACCCACCUUUGACAUGUACGGAAUCCUUUAGAGAUAGAGGAGUGCUCGAAAGAGAACCGUAACACAGGGUGCUGCAUGGCUGUCGUCAGCUCGUGUCGUGAGAUGUUGGGUUAAGUCCCGCAACGAGCGCAACCCUUGUCAUUAGUUGCUACAUUCAGUUUGGGCACUCUAAUGAGACUGCCGGUGACAAACCGGAGGAAGGUGGGGAUGACGUCAAGUCCUCAUGGCCCUUAUAGGUGGGGCUACACACGUCAUACAAUGGAUGGUACAAAGGGUCGGCCAACCCGCGAGGGGGAGCCAAUCCCAUAAAGCCAGUCGUAGUCCGGAUCGUAGUCUGCAACUCGACUACGUGAAGUCGGAAUCGCUAGUAAUCGUGGAUCAGAAUGUCACGGUGAAUACGUUCCCGGGUCUU
rnacentral:rRNA from 1 species